GACAGCUGGCGGCGUGCCUAACACAUGCAAGUCGAGCGGAGUUUUCAGAUUGAGACCUUCGGGAGGAUUUCUGAGAAACUUAGCGGCGGACGGGUGAGUAACGCGUGGGCAAUCUGCCUCUUACAGGGGGAUAACACAGGGAAACUUGUACUAAUACCGCAUGAGACCACAGAGUCGCAUGGCUUAGGGGUCAAAGAUUUAUUGCUGAGAGGUGGGCUCGCGUCCGAUUAGGUAGUUGGUGAGGUAACGGCCCACCAAGCCGACGAUCGAUAGCCGACCUGAGAGGGUGAUCGGCCACAUUGGGACUGAGACACGGCCCAAACUCCUACGGGAGGCAGCAGUGGGGAAUAUUGGGGCAAUGGGGGAAACCCUGACCCAGCAACGCCGCGUGGAGGAAGAAGGUUUUCGGAUCGUAAACUCCUGUCCUCAGGGAAGAGCAGAAGACGGUACCUGAGGAGGAAGCCCCGGCUAACUACGUG
rnacentral:rRNA from 1 species